rnacentral:SRP_RNA from 15 species
GGGGUAGUGGCUCCCGGUGGUCGCCACCCGCCAUUGCGGUGCGAAGCGCGGCCGUGGCGUUGUGGCGCCCGCUGCAGUUGCCCUCCUCAGCUGGAGGGCUGCCGCCACGUGAGGCUGCAACGAACUCAGCAGCAGGCCCGGGUAGCCAAGCGGGUGGAACUGGA